AGCGAACGUUAGCGGCGGGCCUAACACAUGCAAGUCGAGCGAGAAAAGGGCUUCGGCUCUUAGUAAAGCGGCGGACGGGUGAGUAACACGUAGGUAAUCUUCCCUUGAGCGGGGGACAACGAGCCGAAAGGCUCGCUAAUACCGCAUAAGUUUCCCGGGACCCUGGUUCUGGGAAGGAAAGCUAGGCCGCAAGGUCCGGCACUCGAGGAGGAGCCUGCGUCGCAUCAGCUAGUUGGUGGGGUAACGGCCACCAAGGCGAAGACGCGUAGCUGGUCUGAGAGGAUGAUCAGCCACACUGGGACUGAGACACGGGCCCAGACUCCUACAGGAGGCAGCAGUGGGGGAAUAUUGGACAAUGGGCGCAAGCCUGAUCCAGCCACGCCGCGUGAGUGAUGAAGGCC
rnacentral:rRNA from 1 species